GUCGCUUUAGCUCACUUGGGAGAGCGCCAGACUGAAGCCUGAACUUCAGUUCCGAAAUCUGGAGGCACUGUGUUCGAUCCACAGAAGCGACA